rnacentral:lncRNA from 1 species
GGCAGGAAGCUGUAUCUUCUCUCCCCAAAAUUCUCCUUCCCUUUAUGUCUCCUUUGCCUAGACAGGGUCAUAGCCCACUCCCCGGACCGCUGACUGGCAAGGAGGCAUUUGCUUUGGCCGCCCCAGACAUCAGUCCCGGACCUAUCUCAGAUGAUGCGGCCUGCAGCCUCUCCACAGCCCACUCGCGCUCAGUGCCCUGGGGCUCCCACUCGACUGUGACCUGUCCUCAUGUGCGGCAGUGGCCCAUCCUGCGUCCUCUUCACCCCCAUGUCCAGCAUCUUCUUGCCAGCCCAGCCAGACGGGAGCUGGUAUUGCAGAUUGGAGCCUCGGUGCAAAUCUGGGCAGUGAAUGAAUGGGCUACUCUCCCCUCGGAGUGUAAGCCGGAGUGGGGACGACGAAGACCCGGCGACCCCAUGCAGACCCAUUUUCCAGAUGAGGCAGAGAGGCCAAACAGAAUAUGUGGAUGGGCUGUGUUGGACCCAAAGGCCACCAGUUUGCAAGGCCUGAGGAGGCCCAGGAGAGAUGGUGGUGUUAUUCUAGUCCACUCACAGAGCCCUGAGAACCAGGAGUGCCCCGUCCCAGCUCAAGCAGGGAACAAAUCUACUCUACCACUUCCUAAGGCCUGCUCUGCCAACCUCAAUGAACUGGACCAUGCCCGCUGUAUUUACUCAGCCUGCUGACGCUUGUCUCUUGCAGGGACAUUGUACAUCACCAGCUCUCUGGGCAGCCCUAGCCCUGCCAAGAUGGCGCCUAAAGUGAACCACCACAGCUGCCCUGUGGAAUAAGCUGGGGACCUUACAGCCCUUGCCCCGUGCAGGUGCCAUGUAUCUGAGGAGCUUGGGCAGCAGCUGUUCUUUGAGGCCCUGUGUGUCUCAUUGGGCUACAGGGAGGCUGUGACACCUGCCUCACCUGCAAUCCGACCAUCCUGCCAUUCAGGUGUCCGUCUUACAGAUGAGGCAACUCGGCCAUACACUGAGGUUUAGCCAUAUGCUCAAGGCC